GAUGAACGCUGGCGGCGUGCUUAACACAUGCAAGUCGAACGGAAAGGCCCAAGCUUGCUUGGGUACUUGAGUGGCGAACGGGUGAGUAACACGUGGGUGAUCUGCCCUGCACUUCGGGAUAAGCCUGGGAAACUGGGUCUAAUACCGGAUAGGACGAUGGUUUGGAUGCCAUUGUGGAAAGUUUUUUCGGUGUGGGAUGAGCUCGCGGCCUAUCAGCUUGUUGGUGGGGUAAUGGCCUACCAAGGCGUCGACGGGUAGCCGGCCUGAGAGGGUGUACGGCCACAUUGGGACUGAGAUACGGCCCAGACUCCUACGGGAGGCAGCAGUGGGGAAUAUUGCACAAUGGGCGCAAGCCUGAUGCAGCGACGCCGCGUGGGGGAUGACGGCCUUCGGGUUGUAAACUCCUUUCGCUAGGGACGAAGCGUUUUUGUGACGGUACCUGGAGAAGAAGCACCGGCUAACUACGU
rnacentral:rRNA from 1 species